rnacentral:lncRNA from 1 species
AUCUUCCAUAGUAUUGGAGUGAGCUAAGAAGAUUUCAUAAUAUUGAAAGGAACGUUCUUCGAAGUUGAAAAUGCAUGUGGAUUAUAUCUGAUAUUGGCAUGUUGGAUACUGCAAAUAGGUCUAUUUCCUAUUGAUGUAUUUGAUUAUUUUGAGGCCAUAGAGUAUGCAUAUUGAUGGAGGAAUUCUAAUUAUUUGAAUUCUCAUAUUUGGAUUGGGCUACUGAAUUUUUCUUAUAAUUGUUGGAGAUUAUUGGGUGUGUUAACUUGAAAUCUUUGUCAUUGUAAAAUACAAAAUUGAGUAGA